GACGAGGGGUGCGAGCGUUAUUCGGAAUAAUUGGGCGUAAAGGGUGCGCAGACGGUUUGUUAAGUCAAUUGUUAAAUUUCCUGGCCUAACUGGGAGCAGGCGAUUGAUACUAGCAGGCUAGAGGGUGGAAGAGAGAAGUGGAAUUCUCGGAGUAGCGGUAAAAUGCGUAGAUCUCGAGGGGAACACCGAUGGCGAAGGCAGCUUCUUGGUCCAUUUCUGACGUUCAUGCACGAAAGCGUGGGUAGCAAACAGG
rnacentral:rRNA from 1 species